rnacentral:rRNA from 1 species
UACGGAGGGAGCAAGCGUUACUCGGAAUUAUUGGGCGUAAAGGGCGCGUAGGCGAUCCUGUAAGUCUCGUGUGAAAUCCCAGGGCUUAACCCUGGAAUGGCAAGAGAAACCUGCGGGAAUUGAGUUCCGGGAGAGGAAGGCAGAAUUCCCGGUGUAGCGGUGAAAUGCGUAGAUAUCGGGAGGAAUACCGAGUGGCGAAGG